AACCUUUAGCCAAACAAAUAUUAAAGGCAACGCCUGCCCAGUGAACAAUUAAACGGCCGCGGUACCCUAACCGUGCAAAGGUAGCAUAAUCAUUUGUCUAUUAAUUGUAGACCAGUAUGAAAGGCAAAAUGAGGGUCCGUCUGUCUCUUACAAUAAAUCAAUUAAACUGAUCUCCUAGUAAAAAAGCUAGAAUCCACACACAAGACCAAAAGACCCUGUGAAGCUUAAACUAAACUAUUAAACCCUAUAAUACCUACUUUCGGUUGGGGCGACCUUGGAAAAAAAAAGAACUUCCAAACAUAUGACCACACUCAUACACAGGCCUACAAGCCUUAUAUAGACCCAGUAUAGCUGAUAAUUGAACCAAGUUACUCCAGGGAUAACAGCGCUAUCUUCUUCAAGAGUCCAUAUCAAAAAGAAGGUUUACGACCUCGAUGUUGGAUCAGGACAUCCUAAUGGUGCAACCGCUAUUAAGGGUUCGUUUGUUCAACGAUUAACAGUCCU
rnacentral:rRNA from 1 species